GACGAACGCUGGCGGCGUGCUUAACACAUGCAAGUCGAACGGAAAGGCCCUGCUUUUGUGGGGUGCUCGAGUGGCGAACGGGUGAGUAACACGUGAGUAACCUGCCCUUGACUUUGGGAUAACUUCAGGAAACUGGGGCUAAUACCGGAUAGGAGCUCCUGCUGCAUGGUGGGGGUUGGAAAGUUUCGGCGGUUGGGGAUGGACUCGCGGCUUAUCAGCUUGUUGGCGGGGUAGUGGCUUACCAAGGCUUUGACGGGUAGCCGGCCUGAGAGGGUGACCGGCCACAUUGGGACUGAGAUACGGCCCAGACUCCUACGGGAGGCAGCAGUGGGGAAUAUUGCACAAUGGGCGGAAGCCUGAUGCAGCAACGCCGCGUGCGGGAUGACGGCCUUCGGGUUGUAAACCGCUUUCGCCUGUGACAAAGCGUGAGUGACGGUAAUGGGUAAAGAAGCACCGGCUAACUACGUG
rnacentral:rRNA from 1 species